rnacentral:rRNA from 1 species
AGAGUUUGAUCCUGGCUCAGGACGAACGCUGGCGGCGCGCCUAACACAUGCAAGUCGAACGGAGUCAAGAGGAGCUUGCUUUUCUUGACUUAGUGGCGAACGGGUGAGUAACGCGUGAGUAACCUGCCCUGGAGUGGGGGACAACAGUUGGAAACGACUGCUAAUACCGCAUAAGCCCACGGCCCGGCAUCGGGCUGCGGGAAAAGGAUUUAUUCGCUUCAGGAUGGACUCGCGUCCAAUUAGCUAGUUGGUGAGGUAACGGCCCACCAAGGCGACGAUUGGUAGCCGGACUGAGAGGUUGAACGGCCACAUUGGGACUGAGACACGGCCCAGACUCCUACGGGAGGCAGCAGUGGGGGAUAUUGCACAAUGGGGGAAACCCUGAUGCAGCGACGCCGCGUGGAGGAAGAAGGUUUUCGGAUUGUAAACUCCUGUCGUUAGGGACGAUAAUGACGGUACCUAACAAGAAAGCACCGGCUAACUACGUGCCAGCAGCCGCGGUAAAACGUAGGGUGCAAGCGUUGUCCGGAAUUACUGGGUGUAAAGGGAGCGCAGGCGGCAAUGCAAGUCAGAUGUGAAAUACAUGGGCUUAACCGAUGAACUGCAUUUGAAACUGUGUUGCUUGAGUGAAGUAGAAGCAGGCGGAAUUCCCUGUGUAGCGGUGAAAUGCGUAGAGAUAGGGAGGAACACCAGUGGCGAAGGCGGCCUGCUGGGCUUUAACUGACGCUGAAGCACGAAAGCAUGGGUAGCAAACAGGAUUAGAUACCCUGGUAGUCCAUGCCGUAAACGAUGAUUACUAGGUGUGGGGAGACUGACCCUUUCCGUGCCGCAGUUAACACAAUAAGUAAUCCACCUGGGGAGUACGACCGCAAGGUUGAAACUCAAAGGAAUUGACGGGGGCCCGCACAAGCAGUGGAGUAUGUGGUUUAAUUCGAAGCAACGCGAAGAACCUUACCAGGUCUUGACAUCCUAGGAACGGACUAGAGAUAGACCGGUGCCUUUCGGGGAAUCUAGAGACAGGUGGUGCAUGGUUGUCGUCAGCUCGUGUCGUGAGAUGUUGGGUUAAGUCCCGCAACGAGCGCAACCCUUGUCAUUAGUUGCUACGCAAGAGCACUCUAAUGAGACUGCCGUUGACAAAACGGAGGAAGGUGGGGACGACGUCAAAUCAUCAUGCCCCUUAUGACCUGGGCUACACACGUACUACAAUGGCCGUAAACAGAGGGAAGCAGGAGAGCGAUCUGGAGCAAACCCCCAAAAACGGUCCCAGUUCGGAUUGCAGGCUGAAACUCGCCUGUAUGAAGUCGGAAUUGCUAGUAAUCGCGGAUCAGCAUGCCGCGGUGAAUACGUUCCCGGGCCUUGUACACACCGCCCGUCA